GGGGCUGUAGCUCAGUGGUAGAGCACUUGCCUUGCAUAUGUGAGGUAGUGGGUUCGAUCCUCAGCACCA
rnacentral:tRNA from 1 species